rnacentral:lncRNA from 1 species
AUGCUGGUGGUCUUGUAUGGUCUGGGACCUGCACUGCACACUUAUGGGAGGGGAAAGAAAGAGAGGAGGGAAAGAAAGAAAGAAAGAAAGAAAGAAAGAGAGAGGAAGGAAGGAGGGAAGAAAGAGGCAGAGGGUUGUGAUGGAGAAGCAGUGAGAGAUUUGUUGAUUCUGAUCCAGACAGAUGGAGCACUAAUUUAAUGAGGUCUUAAGGGGUUUCAGAGAUCAGAAGUGGGAAUACCAGAUCUAUUAUAGGAAUUACAGAUAGGAACAAAAUUUUCACAACACUUUAGUGACAAGCAUCAAGAUAAAAGGAACUGUGAAGAUAUUUCCUUAAAACAGCCUCCAGGGUCAGCUAAUCCUGGUUUCAACUUCAAAGUGAAAAUGUAAGAGUGAAUAUAACCCAGCUUGCAUUUCCAUCCAUGAAUCCAGGCAGCCACAGGGCAAGAUGAUGGCCUGAGCUCCCUACCCUCCACCACCCAAGGAGGACCAUGUGAUUGUUGGCUGUGAAGCCUGACACUCAAUCAAGUAUGGGGGCUUCUGGAGCUCUUAUAAGCUGGACCUCUCAUGAGAUGAUCCCACACAGAAGGGCUAAUUCAUUUACAGAAAGGCAUGAUCACUGCUGAAGACAGGGAAGACCAAUACAUUAAAAAUUCUCUAACAUUAUCAAGCCCUAUAGCACCAAAAUCAUGCUUAAUCUUUUUCUGGUGGUACUAGGGAUCGAACUCAGGGCCUUCUGCAUGCUAUGCAUGUACUCUGCCACUGCACAACAUCCACAGGCCUCAUGCUUAAUCUUAAAGAUACACUGCUUCCCUUUUAUCCUUGAGCCUCUUAUGAUAAUAUUCCUAAAUUAGAGCUCAAGUUAUGAAAAAGUUAUCACUCAGCACAACCUGACUUGUUGGAGCUGUCUGCAUAAGUAUGGUGUGUCUUUCCUCCAAUUUUCCAUUCCUCUUUCAUUGAUAAAUCAAUCUAACAUGCCAGUGGUCACAAGGCAGGGACUAUAGAUUUAUCCUCCUGUUCUCCUCCCUCCUUCUAGUUCUGCUUUUCAUAGUAACAAUCUCUGUGUAAAGCUGAUUACAUGUUUUAUAUAAAAUUAUGUUAAAUAUGUAUUAUAUUUGUACUAAUAAUUUACACGAACACAGACUUUAAGACUGGAUGAAAAUCCCCAUGUAACAUUUCCAUGAAUAAUUAUCACUCAUCAUAACAAAACCAGCCAAGUCUUCAAAACUUGCCACUUUCUAAUAACACAUUAAGUGCUCACUUACAUUACACAGUUUGCUCAACUCUAGCAUGUAGGUAUCAUUAUUUCCACUUAAAAGUAUAAGGAAACUGAGGUUAAGAGAGGCUAUGGAACUAGUCACAGAGAAUUGGGAAAGCUGUGACUCUCACCUUUCUCCAAAUUCACAGGUGGUAUUUAUCUUACUGCAAAGUGCUGCCUCUCUGAACUGUUAGUAUCCUGAAACAACAGCCUGAACAAUGUAUACUACACCUCACUCAAAAUUUUUUUUUUUGGUACCGGGGAUCAAACUCAGGUCCUUGUACUUGCGAGGCAGGUGGUGCAACCACUGAGCUAAAUCCCCAGCCCCCUCACUCAAAAUUUUAACUUUUUGUCAAUCACAAAUAAUGAACCCACAUUCUUUCCCUUGUCCAUUUGGUCAAGGCUACUUAGAAACAAACCAAACAACACAUCUACAGAAAAGGUAAAUAGACAAGGGGAGAAACAGGGCUCAUAAAUUGUAAAUGGAUGACCUGACUAAUUCACUGUGCCAGAAAUGAACUCACAAAGACAAAUUACAGGCAGAUUGCUAGAUGAACAGCAAACAGCAGGAAGAUGGCAUGUCUGAAUGGUGAAAGAAGAUAGUACUGCUGAUACUGCAUAAAUAUGGAAAGUAGACCUCUCAGCCAAACAGGAGUGAGAGGACUUGAAAGAAUAAAGUACUGAAAACCAGAACUCAGGAGAAAAGAGCUGAAAUUAUUUUGCCUGGAGGAGUGAUGUUUACACAGUCUAAAAGGAAACAUUAUUAGGAGCAAGGUUAUCAGGAAAUCCCUACUUCUAAGAAUAGAGUAUCAGUACUCGCUUUGGCAGCACAUAUACUAAAACUGGAACGAUAAGAAUAGAAUAUCAAUAGGAAUUUACAUCAGAUUAAUUUGGGGUAUGGGCUUAUUUACUCUCCAAGUCAGUGAUAGUUUAUUCUUGCAAGGGGAGGGAGGACGUAUGAACUUAUUUUAGUUUUUAUAGCACAUACUCCAUAUGAGAAGAUAAAGUAGCAAAACAAAUGCUGGUACUUUUGUCAUGAGAAUUUUUAAGACUAUAUUAGAAUAAGAAAGAAUUUAUAGAUGAUGAAUAAGGUGCCUCUCUUGUCUGAAGAUUUUGAGUUAUCACCAAUGUGGGGAAAAUUACUGUGAUUGCCAUUUAGUCAAAGACUCAAUUAGCAGGGCUGUGACUUCUCCCUGUUAAGUCCUGUAAGUUGUAGAAAGACCUUACUUUCU